rnacentral:rRNA from 1 species
ACGUACACUCCUGCGGGAGGCAGCAGUGGGGAAUUUUACGCAAUGGGGGAAACCCUGACGUAGCGACACCGCGUGAGCGAAGAAGCCCUUUGGGGUGUAAAGCUCUGUCAGCUGGAACGAAAACAAUGACGGUUCCAGCAGAGGAAGCAUCGGCUAACUACGUGCCAGCAGCCGCGGUAAGACGUAGGAUGCGAGCGUUGUCCGGAUUUAUUGGGCGUAAAGAGUUCGUAGGUGGUUUGUUAAGUUUGGUGUUAAAGAUCGGGGCUCAACCCUGGGACUGCACUGAAUACUGGCAGACUCGAGUGUGGUAGAGGCUAGUGGAAUUCCCAGUGUAGCGGUGAAAUGCGUAGAUAUUGGGAAGAACACCGGUGGCGUAGGCGACUAGCUGGGCCAUAACUGACGCUGAGGAACGAAAGCCAGGGGAGCGAAUGGGAUUAGAAACCCGGGUAGUCCCAU